UCACAGUGAACUUUGAAUAUGCUUGUGUAGGAUAGCUGGGAGGCUUUGAAACCGGGACGCCAGUUCCGGUGGAGCCAUCCUUGAAAUACCAGCCUGGCAUGUUUGAGGUUCUAACUCGGAUCCCUGAUCGGGAUUGAGGACAUUGUGUGGUGGGUAGUUUGACUGGGGCGGUCUCCUCCCAAAUCGUAACGGAGGAGCACAAAGGUGGGCUAAGUACGGUCGGACAUCGUACGGUUAGUGUAAUGGCACAAGCCCGCUUAACUGCGAGACAGACACGUCGAGCAGGUACGAAAGUAGGUCAUAGUGAUCCGGUGGUUCUGUAUGGAAGGGCCAUCGCUCAACGGAUAAAAGGUACUCCGGGGAUAACAGGCUGAUACCGCCCAAGAGUUCACAUCGACGGCGGUGUUUGGCACCUCGAUGUCGGCUCAUCACAUCCUGGGGCUGAAGCCGGUCCCAAGGGUAUGGCUGUUCGCCAUUUAAAGUGGUACGCGAGCUGGGUUUAGAACGUCGUGAGACAGUUCGGUCCCUAUCUGCCGUGGACGUUGGAGAUUUGAGGGAAGCUGCUCCUAGUACGAGAGGACCGGAGUGGACGAACCUCUGGUGUUCGGGUUGUCACGCCAGUGGCAUUGCCCGGUAGCUAUGUUCGGACAGGAUAACCGCUGAAAGCAUCUAAGCGGGAAGCCCCUCCCAAGAUGAGAUCUCCCCGGGCCUUCGAGGCCCCUGAAGAGCCGUUCAAGACCAGGACGUUGAUAGGUCGGGUGUGUAAGCGCUGCGAGGCGUUGAGCUAACCGAUACUAAUUGCUCGUGCGGCUUGACUAUAUAACACCCAAGG
rnacentral:rRNA from 1 species